UUUUAGUUUCCAAGUUCGUCCCUUACAUUUUAAAAGUUUCAAGUUGGUCCUUACGUUUUAAAAGUUUUAAGUUGGUCCCUUACGUUUUAAAAGUUUCAAGUUUGUCCAAAACGUUACUCACAUUGGAAUAAGUUAGUCCCUUCCGUCACUUAACGUUUAAAGUUUUGGGGUUGACAAUAUGGGCGAUAGAACCUUAAUUUAUUUAGAAAAUCAGUUUAAAACAUUUUUUUAAUUUUUUUUUUGGUUUUAUUAAACUCAAUAUCAUGUUGCGAAAGGGACCAACUUAUUCCAACGUGAGCAACGUUUUAAACCAACUUGAAACUUUUAAAACAUAAAGGACCAACUAAAAACUAAAAUAAACAUAAGGGAUGAAACGUGCAAUUAAGCCUCAUAUAUAAUGAUGAUCAUCAAGAUUUUUAAGUGAUACCUUUUACUAUGGCUAAGAAAUCAAUUGAGUUAAUUUAAGGGUACACACAACAUAUUCAUUACAAAAAUUUAACAUUGAUUACAAUUUUAUAAAUAGCUUCUUGAAUUCCUAAGUGAUAAAAACUAUUUCACUGAAGUUAACAAAGCAUGAAAUUUUUACUUAUAAAGUGAUAAAAAAAAUGUAUGUUUAUUAUAUUUAAGGGAGGAAAAACAUGGCUAAAAUUCUCAUGUUUGUUUAUGCUUUGAUCAUCUUUAUUUCCCUUGUUAUAACCGGUAGAAGCACUAUAAAUGUUAUGUGUUAUUAUGACCACGAUUGUCCAUUUGUGUUAGAUCAUAUAGCUGAAUGUAAAGGUGGUGUUUGUGAGUACACAGCAUUCUUCUAUGAAUAAAGAUUGAUAGACAUGCUUGAUGUUUGCGUGAUCACUUUUUAGAAGCUGAAAAAUGUGGUAACGCAACUAAAUGUGCGUGACAAGUUCUUUUACUCCAUUCAUAAAGUCUUUUCGCCGGACGACUCGUAGGAGGUGAGAAGGGACCUUACUCCAUCCCACUUAGUGUACUACUACCAGACAACAUCUACCUACACAAGCUCGAUAAGGAGAUAGGAAGGAUCCGAGAAAAGUAUGAAAUUUCGAGAAUAAGAUCGGUUCUAUUAAGGACAUGACAUAUUGAUGACCAAGAAAACUCUGGAGAAGAAGCAAGCUUAAACGCUCCCCAAGACAACAAUAUGUGUACUUCUUAGCUUAGUGUCAACAUACAUGCAUCUAAUUAGUUGAUGUGUCGUUUCUACAUCACGCCUCUUUCCGUCUAAAAUAGUACUAUAUUCGUUCCAAAAUACAUGUAGCAGUUAACCAUUGCACACAUGCUAAUAUACAACUUUGACCAUUAAUAUCUUUAAUUAUAUAUAAUAAAAAAUAGUAAAAAUUUGAUAUUUUGAAAAUAUUCAUGGAGACAAAUCAAACAACAUCUUA